ACCCGCUGAACUUAAGCAUAUCAAUAAGCGGAGGAAAAGAAACCAACAGGGAUUGCCCUAGUAACGGCGAGUGAAGCGGCAACAGCUCAAAUUUGAAAUCUGGCUCUUUUAGGGUCCGAGUUGUAAUUUGCAGAGGGCGCUUUGGCGUUGGCAGCGGUCCAAGUUCUUUGGAACAGGACGUCACAGAGGGUGAGAAUCCCGUACGUGGUCGCCAUCCUUCGCCGUGUAAAGCCCCUUCGACGAGUCGAGUUGUUUGGGAAUGCAGCUCUAAAUGGGAGGUAAAUUUCUUCUAAAGCUAAAUACUGGCCAGAGACCGAUAGCGCACAAGUAGAGUGAUCGAAAGAUGAAAAGCACUUUGGAAAGAGAGUCAAAAAGCACGUGAAAUUGUUGAAAGGGAAGCGCUUGCAGCCAGACUUGCCUGUAGUUGCUCAUCCGGGUUUUUACCCGGUGCACUCUUCUAUAGGCAGGCCAGCAUCAGUUUGGGCGGUUGGAUAAAGGUCUCUGUCAUGUACCUCUCUUCGGGGAGAACUUAUAGGGGAGACGACAUGCAACCAGCCCGGACUGAGGUCCGCGCAUCUGCUAGGAUGCUGGCGUAAUGGCUGU
rnacentral:rRNA from 1 species